CUCAGAAUCUGAUACUUUUCGCCGGAGCCCUUCUAAAUGUCUGUUUUCGCUCAAAUUUGACAAUCAAGCUCGGUUUAACUUAAUAAGAAUAAAAAAAUUUUAAUCUUUCAGUUUUGACCCUUUUUGGUCACCGAAAGCUCUACUAACUAAUAUUUUAAUAGAUAGCUUAUUUUUCACUUUCCAGGUGUCAGAAUGGUAUGAAACUUUAAAUCUAGCCUCAUAAAAAUAAUCCUGAUAUUUUUCUAGAUUUUCAUAAUUUUCUGACACUGUGCAUUUUCUGCUAAAAUAUCAGCCCCGUUUCUUACAGAAAAUUCUAAAUCUUCUGUUUUCGCUCCGAUUUCGGCACGAGUCAUUCCAGACUAACUUGGGUACUCCAUAAAUUAUCUCCAAGCCUCGCUUUAAUUCUUUUAAUCAAAGUUAGCGUUAGAAUUCCGAAAAUUCUCUUUACAUUUCGUUUCGCGCCCAAUUUGCGCCGAAACACUUAUUUAUCAUCAGAAUUCAUCCUCACGCGUCCAAAAUCACUCGGGGAAGAUAUUCAAC
rnacentral:lncRNA from 1 species